rnacentral:rRNA from 1 species
GGGGGGGGGGGGGGGGGGGGGGGGGGGGGGGGGGGCGAGCGGGGGCGCAGUAGGAGCUUGCUCUUACGGGUGGCGAGUGGCGGAGGGGUGCGGAAUACAUCGGAAUCUACUUUUUCGUGGGGGAUAACGUAGGGAAACUUACGCUGAUACCGCAUACGACCUACGGGUGAAAUCAGGGGAUCUUCGGACCUUGCGCGAUUGAAUGAGCCGAUGUCGGAUUAGCUAGUUGGCGGGGUAAAGGCCCACCAAGGCGACGAUCCGUAGCUGGUCUGAGAGGAUGAUCAGCCACACUGGAACUGAGACACGGUCCAGACUCCUACGGGAGGCAGCAGUGGGGAAUAUUGGACAAUGGGCGCAAGCCUGAUCCAGCCAUACCGCGUGGGUGAAGAAGGCCUUCGGGUUGUAAAGCCCUCUUGUUGGGAAAGAAAAGCAGCAGGUUAAUACCCCGCUGUUCUGACGGUACCCAAAGAAUAAGCACCGGCUAACUUCGUG